rnacentral:rRNA from 1 species
UACGUAGGGUGCGAGCGUUAAUCGGAAUUACUGGGCGUAAAGCGUGCGCAGGCGGCGCGUUAAGACAGGUGUGAAAGCCCCGAGCUUAACUUGGGAAUUGCGCUUGUGACUGGCGUGCUGGAGUGUGGCAGAGGGAGGUGGAAUUCCACGUGUAGCAGUGAAAUGCGUAGAGAUGUGGAGGAAUACCGGUGGCGAAGGCGGCAUCCUGGACCGGCAUUGACGCUGAGUGAGCGAAAGCCAGGGGAGCAAACGGG